rnacentral:lncRNA from 1 species
GGCACGGCGGCUCCACCGGGCUCCGGCGACGGCACCGCCGCCUGCGACGGUGAUCCGUCAUGGGUUGGCCGUUAUCGGUCGAAUUCAGCCAAACUUGCAUUGGUUCAUCCGAUAAAACAACCCCUGGGCCCUCGGUGGGCUAAAAAAUCAUGAAAAAUAGAGACUUACCAGCGACGGAGCUCUCGGGUGCGGCAGCUUCUCCGGCGCGAGUCACAAUUUGAUGUUUUGCUCCGGUCAACCUGUAGAGAAAAGGACGAUGAUCACAGUGGUGUAAAAAUUGCAUCGAACGGGAACCUGAAAGGGCCUCAUUGGAGGCAAAAAUUGAGGGAAGUCGCGGCAGUGCCACUGGACUUUGCACAGUGUUUUCUG